CCUACGGGAGGCAGCAGUGAGGAAUAUUGGUCAAUGGGCGUAAGCCUGAACCAGCCAAGUCGCGUGAGGGAUGAAGGUUCUAUGGAUCGUAAACCUCUUUUAUAAGGGAAUAAAGUGUGGGACGUGUCCGAUUUUGUAUGUACCUUAUGAAUAAGGAUCGGCUAACUCCGUGCCAGCAGCCGCGGUAAUACGGAGGAUCCGAGCGUUAUCCGGAUUUAGUGGGUUUAAAGGGUGCGUAGGCGGCCUUUUAAGUCUGCGGUGAAAGUCUGGGGCUCACCCCUAGAAUUGCCGUUGAAACUGGGGGCCUUUCGUAUGUUUGCGGCAGUCGGCAUGCGUGGUGUAGCGGUGAACUGCUUAGAUCUCACGC
rnacentral:rRNA from 1 species